UCCAUACAUUCAUGGUAGCAGUUGACAUAGUCGAUGCGAUUAAGAAAAAUCGUAAUCAUCCUGAUCAUCUCCACAACUCAGAUACUCCAGAAUUCAUCCUAACCAUGAUUCAACUCACAAGCAUGGAGUACUAUGUAAUUUAGAGCAGGUCGAUGUUGCUUACUUUUCAAGCUAAGAGUAAGUUAAGUUUUAUGAAUGAAAUCUAUAAAAAGGGCGACUACAAAGAUGAGACUGAGUAGUGACAAAUAAG
rnacentral:lncRNA from 1 species